GGUGAUAUAGCUCAGUGGUAGAGUGCCUGCCUAGCGUGCAUGAUGUCCUGGGUUCAAUCCCCAGUACUUCCA
rnacentral:tRNA from 1 species